UUGUUCUCUAUGGCGGUACCAAUGGCGAGAAGCGGUAAUUGCAGGUGUGUUUUUGGACCUCACUUCCCAUAUAUCCAACCGGAUCCAACCAGUGUCGCCUGUGUGACGUCAGUCAGUUGGCACCUGGGCCACGCCAACUAUAACACUUACUAUUUACUGAAUAAAAAAUGGUUGUUAUAAAAGUAACGUUAUGUACAUACUCAUUCGUUGUCUAACAUUAGGCUAACUUAAACUGUCUUUACACUGCCGACCCGGGUUAAAAUGCUGUAGCAGACCUGGGGUAUAAUUAGUGAUGAUCAAUUUCCACAAACGGUUUUUAUCUACCUUUUGCCCAGUAUGAACAUCUUUACACUGCAGAGAAGAAUUCGCGGGAUUCGCUGUGGCUCGUGCAAUUAUGUAUCUCGUGCACAAUAAACAGUCUUUUU